rnacentral:rRNA from 1 species
CCUACGGGCGGCAGCAGUCGAGAAUCAUUCACAAUGGGGGAAACCCUGAUGGUGCGACGCCGCGUGGGGGAAUGAAGGUCUUCGGAUUGUAAACCCCUGUCAUGUGGGAGCAAAUUAAAAAGAUAGUACCACAAGAGGAAGAGACGGCUAACUCUGUGCCAGCGGCCGCGGUAAUACAGAGGUCUCAAGCGUUGUUCGGAAUCACUGGGCGUAAAGCGUGCGUAGGCUGUUUCGUAAGUCGUGUGUGAAAGGCGCGGGCUCAACCCGCGGACGGCACAUGAUACUGCGAGACUAGAGUAAUGGAGGGGGAACCGGAAUUCGCGGUGUAGCAGUGAAAUGCGGAGAUAUCGAGAGGAACACUCGUGGCGAAGGCGGGUUCCUGGACAUUAACUGACGCUGAGGCACGAAGGCCAGGGGAGCGAAAGGGAUUAGAUACCCCAGUAGUC